ACGGCCGUACCACGCUGAAUAUACCGGCUCUCGUUAGAUCACCGAAGUCAAGCAUCAUUGGGCGCGGUCAGUACUUGGGUGGGUGACCACCUGGGAACACCGCGUGCCGUU
rnacentral:rRNA from 1 species